UACAGAGGGUGCAAACGUUGUUCGGAAUUACUGGGCGUAAAGCGCACGUAGGCGGGUCUUUAAGUCAGGGGUGAAAUCCUGGAGCUCAACUCCAGAACUGCCUUUGAUACUGAGGAUCUCGAGUCCGGGAGAGGUGAGUGGAACUCCGAGUGUAGAGGUGAAAUUCGUAGAUAUUAGGAAGAACACCGGUGGCGAAGGCGGCCCACUGGUCCGGUACUGACGCUGAGGUGCGAAAGCGUGGGGAGCAAACAGG
rnacentral:rRNA from 1 species